rnacentral:rRNA from 1 species
AUUGAACGCUGGCGGCAUGCCUUACACAUGCAAGUCGAACGGUAACAGGUUAAGCUGCCGAGUGGCGAACGGGUGAGUAAUGUAUCGGAACGUGCCCAGUCGUGGGGGAUAACUGCUCGAAAGAGCAGCUAAUACCGCAUACGACCUGAGGGUGAAAGCGGGGGAUCGCAAGACCUCGCGCGAUUGGAGCGGCCGAUAUCAGAUUAGGUAGUUGGUGAGGUAAAGGCUCACCAAGCCGACGAUCUGUAGCUGGUCUGAGAGGACGACCAGCCACACUGGGACUGAGGCACGGCCCAGACUCCUACGGGAGGCAGCAGUGGGGAAUUUUGGACAAUGGGCGCAAGCCUGAUCCAGCCAUGCCGCGUGCGGGAAGAAGGCCUUCGGGUUGUAAACCGCUUUUGUCAGGGAAGAAAAGGUUCUGGCUAAUACCUGGGACUCAUGACGGUACCUGAAGAAUAAGCACCGGCUAACUACGUG